AGCUCAAGAGCAAAGGGGAAAUAAAUCCGAUAAAGGGAAGGAAAAAGUGGUUGAAUAGCUAGCGGAAUCGUUCGACAACACCCGAGGUAAGUUCUUGAGUAAGAGAGCUUAAAUUACGAUGUGAUUAAAUCAUGCUCUAUGUGAGGCUAUUGAGCCGAAUGUGCAAGGAUGAUAUGUGCCUUGUGUUUGAGUUUCGCAAAUGAAAAUGAAAUAUGAAUGUGCCAUGAAUUAUUGUUAGAUGUGCAUGAUUAAUUGAAUGCUGUCCGGGCUAAGUCCCGAAGGCUUUGUGCUAAGUGAAUAUAUCCGGACUAAGAUCCGAAGGCCUUUGUGCGAGAUAUUAAAUCCGGGUUAAGUCCCGAAGGCAUUCGUGCGAGUUGUUAAAUCCGGGUUAAGUCCCGAAGCCAUUCGUGCGAGUUGUUAAAUCCGGGUUAUGUCCCGAAGGCAUUGUGUGAGUUACUAAAACCGGGCUAUGUCCCGAAGGCAUUUGAACGAGGAGCUAUAUCCGGUUAAAUCCCGAAGGUACGUGAUUUGGUAAUGAAUGAGCUUGCUGUAAAAUUCCAGCGAAUACUCGAAAAACAUCCCAAUAUGGGGAUAUGUUACGUAUGUGUUGAAUUUAAUCGAGCCCUUACAAAUAAAUGUUCGCUCAGUUGAUAAACGAGCUACCGGCCUUCGGCUAAGUUAGUCUAUUGUGUAUGUACAUAAGGGUUGUUAAUGUUGUGAAGCAAGUUUGAUAUCGGUAAAUUGCGUAUUAUGAAAUAUUCCAUUUAGCUAAAUGUGUGUUAUUCUUUGUUUAUGCUGGAAUUCCUUGCUCAAAACUUACUAAGCAUAAAUUGCUUACUUCGUUCCAUUGCUCCUCUGUUUUAUAGAUUUUUUUGGUUCUCCAGCUAUCGGACUCGGGAUCUUGACGUCGAAGUCGCCCACACUAUCAAAGGCUCUUUUGGGUACUAUUUUGGUUGAAUUUUGAUAUGGCAUGUAUAGGACUACCCAUUGUUGUCUUUCGAGUACUUUAUGAAAUGUAUAAGUGUACAGCCAUGCGAAAAUGGCUUGUAGAAGUGGAG
rnacentral:lncRNA from 1 species